CCUCACUUUGAUUGAGGGAGUUAGGAUCACUGCUUUCCAGAGCUGUACUAUGCAGUGAUCCUGAAUUCUCGAGAUGCUCUGACCACAGGAAUUGUUCAAGGAAAGAGGUGGACCACCUCUCUCUGAAUGAGGAAAAUGGUGACAAUAACAACUGUGACUAAGGAAACUGACCUUUUCCUUACUCAGCCUCCUAGACAUUUGAUGUGAAGACAAAGGCACUGUGUUCCAGAGAGGGCACCCAAAGGUCCUAUAUUUUACUUCUUGCCCCUGAGAACUUCACAGUCAAGUGAGAGGACAAAUACAUUAACACUCUAAUAAACAUGGCGAUCACCAUCCCUGGGGUAUAUAUAAGUACUGUGGGAACAUGACAAGUUGGUAAUGGGAC
ensembl:lincRNA